UUGAACGCUGGCGGCAUGCCUUACACAUGCAAGUCGAACGGCAGCACGGGUGCUUGCACCUGGUGGCGCGUGGCGAACGGGUGAGUAAUACAUCGGAACAUGUCCUGUAGUGGGGGAUAGCCCGGCGAAAGCCGGAUUAAUACCGCAUACGAUCUACGGAUGAAAGCGGGGGACCUUCGGGCCUCGCGCUAUAGGGUUGGCCGAUAGCUGAUUAGCUAGUUGGUGGGGUAAAGGCCUACCAAGGCGACGAUCAGUAGCUGGUCUGAGAGGACGACCAGCCACACUGGGACUGAGACACGGCCCAGACUCCUACGGGAGGCAGCAGUGGGGAAUUUUGGACAAAGGGCGAAAGCCUGAUCCAGCAAUGCCGCGUGUGUGAAGAAGGCCUUCGGGUUGUAAAGCACUUUUGUCCGGAAAGAAAUCCUUGGCUCUAAUACAGUCGGGGGAUGACGGUACCGGAAGAAUAAGCACCGGCUAACUACGUG
rnacentral:rRNA from 1 species